rnacentral:rRNA from 1 species
GUCCUUUUGAAUAUUAUUUAAGGUCGGGCCUGCCCAAUGAUAAUUUGAAUGGCCGCAGUAUUUUGACUGUGCUAAGGUAGCAUAAUCAUUAGUUUCUUAAUUAGAAACUGGAAUGAAAGGUUUGAUGAGGGAAUAGCUGUCUCUAAUAUUUUUAUAGAAUUUUAUUUUUAAGUUAAAAAGCUUAAAUUUUGUUGAAAGACGAGAAGACCCUAUAGAGUUUGAUAAGCUGAUUUUUGUUACGCAUUUUUGUAAUUUAAUUAGCUUGAUGAUUAAGUUUAUUUGGUUGGGGUGAUUGUAAAAUUAAUUAAACUUUUACUUAUUUGUGUUCACUGAUAUGUGUUUUAUUGAUCCAAUAAUUUUGAUUAAAAGAUUAAAUUACCUUAGGGAUAACAGCGUAAUCUUUUUUUAGAGUUCUAAUCGAUGAAAGGGAUUGCGACCUCGAUGUUGGAUUAAAAUUUACUUAGGGUGCAAUAGCUUUAAAGUUGGGUCUGUUCGACCUUUAAAAUUUUACA